rnacentral:lncRNA from 1 species
AUGCUGGAUGACCCAAUAGUCCCUGACAGGAAGUCCAGUGAGCCUUUGACUACGCCCUGGCACAGAGUUAUGAUGACAGGAAGUCCAGUGAGCCUUUGACUACGCCCUGGCACAGAGUUAAGAUGUUAUGAUCACAGGAAGUCCAGUAAGCCUUUGACUACGCCCUGGCACAGAGUUAAUAUGGGACUAUUUGGUGACAGGUUUACCCUUGAUGUGGCUUGUCUGUGAUGUGAUGCAUUCCAUGA